rnacentral:rRNA from 1 species
AUUGAACGCUGGCGGCAGGCCUAACACAUGCAAGUCGAACGAGUGGCGGACGGGUGAGUAAUGUCUGGGAAACUGCCUUAUGGAGGGGGAUAACUACUGGAAACGGUAGCUAAUACCGCAUACCAUCGGAUGUGCCCAGAUGGGAUUAGCUAGUAGGUGUGGUAAAGGCUCACCUAGGCGACGAUCCCUAGCUGGUCUGAGAGGAUGACCAGCCACACUGGAACUGAGACAAGGUCCAGACUCCUACGGGAGGCAGCAGGGGGGAAGAUUGCACAAUGGGCGAAAGCCUGAUGCAGCCAUGACGCGUGUAUGAAGAAGGCCGUCGGGUUGUAAAGUACUUUCAGCGGGGAGGCGUUACCCGCAGAAGAAGCACCGGCUAACUCCGGGCCAGCAGCAGCGGUAAUAC